CUGGCAGUUACUCCCCUUGCCUGUCUCGCGCGUCAGAAUGGAAGUCGAGGAGGACGACGCGGCGGCGGCGGCCAGCGCGUGGCCGGGUUCAGCCAGGCGCCUCCACCUCCUUCAGUUCCUCCUCCACGCCUCCAAGCGGCUCGAUCUCCGCCCCAUCGUCAAGUACUCCGCGCUCGCGUUCUUCGCCGGCCGCUUCCUCCCCGCGCUCCCGAGGAAGAUGGGGUUCUACGGCGCGCGAAGCGGGCGAGCCGUGAGGUCCUGGCUUCUCGAGCCUCUGAGGGACAGCAACCUGGAGCUCUUCGCGCUCGUCGCAGUUUGGAUCGCCAGCAAGAUCCACGAUCUGAGGCCGCUGUCAGUGAAGAGCCUCAAAGCGUUGGGCGAUCGCAUCAUCGCCGACCAGCAUUUCACGUGCCGAGACUUCGCAGAUGCUGAAUUGGUGUUCAUGGAGGUAGUGGAGCAUAAUAUUGGAUCUUCAAGGAUUGCUUUCAUAUAUCUGGAGGAGCUUCUCAUCCAUUUCAGGGAAAUAUCAAAAUUAGGUGAUCUUUUGGAUCUGGAUGUGUGCAUGGAAAUUUUGGAUAUUCUGUAUGAGAAUGAAGAUACCUCUUUACUUUUUAACUCUCCCCGCUCGCUUGCUGCUUCAACUCUUGUUGCUGCAUAUGCUAUAUCAGUUCCUAAGCAGACAUGGGAGUUUCCAAUCCUUCCUUGGGCCAAAGAGUAUUAAUUUAUUGCUACCUCAAUCAAGACCAGCUGUUCAUGUAGUAGUAAAUUUUAACAAGGCGUAUUUAAUGGAUAGGCCUAUGAGGGAGAAGGACAAGGGAGAUUUCGACGUCAGAUGUUUAUUGUGAAUAUGUGAUGUGUAGAGCACAAGAAUGUCCGUCAGUUUUGCCUUUGAGUUGUGAAGUAGUAACGCCAUCAAACUGAGUACAGAAGAUACAUUCCUGUAUAAGACACUUCAGCUCAUUUUGUCCAGCGGUUCAAGAUUAAGAUGUCCUGAAUAGCCCUGUGAACUGAACUAUAUGAUGAUUAAAGGAAUAUACACACAAGCAUUUCGCAAUGGAACUCUGUAUUGGAUACAGUGAUGACAUGUCAAAGUAAUGGAAUAUGCUGAGGGAAUGUAUUCAUGCAA